AGGGAGAAUAUAUUGAACACAAUAUAGAGAACCUUGAACAAAUGGUCCUCAUUGGAAGGUGGCACACACGUAAGGUCGGUCCUGAGGUUUUUUGUGUCUUGGGCAAACUAAAAAAAAUUACGUCCUCAUAAUUAUUGAAGUAUUGUUGGCCUUGAAAUUCUUUGUUGCAAAACUCAUUAAUAAUCCAUUCACAAUCAAGAUUAUUUAAAACAACAAUAACA
rnacentral:lncRNA from 1 species